rnacentral:snoRNA from 1 species
GGGCUGUGAUGAAGAUAUAACCGUGCUAGAGAUGAGUAUCUUAUGAUUUCGUCGAUGACAGCGCAAUCCUCUAAGAAGUUCUGAGCUC